GACGAACCGUGCGAACGUUGUUCGGAAUCACUGGGCUUAAAGGGCGCGUAGGCGGGCUGUCAAGUCUGGGGUGAAAUGCUGCGGCUCAACCGUAGAACUGCCUUAGAUACUGACGGCCUCGAGGAAGGUAGGGGCAUGCGGAACUGUAGGUGGAGCGGUGAAAUGCGUUGAUAUCUACAGGAACUCCGGUGGCGAAAGCGGCGUGCUGGACCCUUUCUGACGCUGAGGCGCGAAAGCUAGGGGAGCAAACGGG
rnacentral:rRNA from 1 species